GAUGAACCCUGGCUUCUUGCCUAAUGCAUGCAUGUCGAGCGAUGAGACGAGUAGCUGUCUCCUUCGAGGAUAGCGCCAGACGGGUUUGUAACCCGUAGGCAACCUACCUAUUAGACUGGGAUAACUUCGGGAAACUGGGGUUACGACCGGAUAAUUUUUCGAACCAGUGUGUUCGAUUGUGUAAGCUGACUUUCCCAUCCCUUAUAGUUUGACCUGCGCCGUAUUAGCUAGUUGGUAAGGUAACGGCUUACCAAGGCAACGAUACGUAGCCGACCUGAGAGGGUGAGCGGCCACACUGGAACUGAGACACGGUCCAGACUCCUACGGGAGGCAGCAGUAGGGAAUCUUCCGCAAUGGGCGAAAGCCUGACGGAGCAACGCCGCGUGAGUGAUGAAGGUCUUCGGAUCGUAAAACUCUGUUAUUAGGGAAGAACAAACGUGUAAGUAACUGUGCACGGCUUGACGGUACCUAAUCAGAAAGCCGCGGCUAACUACGUG
rnacentral:rRNA from 1 species